rnacentral:rRNA from 1 species
UUGUUGGUAAGGUAAAAGCUUACCAAGGCUUCGAUCAGUAGCUGGUCUGAGAGGACGACCAGCCACACUGGGACUGAGACACGGCCCAGACUCCUACGGGAGGCAGCAGUGGGGAAUUUUGGACAAUGGGGGCAACCCUGAUCCAGCCAUGCCGCGUGAGUGAAGAAGGCCUUCGGGUUGUAAAGCUCUUUCAGCCGGAACGAAACGGUUACGGAUAACACCCGUGACUACUGACGGUACCGGAAGAAGAAGCACCGGCUAACUACGUGCCAGCAGCCGCGGUAAUACGUAGGGUGCGAGCGUUAAUCGGAAUUACUGGGCGUAAAGCGUGCGCAGGUGGUUUUGUAAGUCAGAUGUGAAAGCCCCGGGCUCAACCUGGGAACUGCGUUUGAAACUACAAGACUAGAGUGUGGCAGAGGGGGGUGGAAUUCCGCGUGUAGCAGUGAAAUGCGUAGAGAUGUGGAGGAACACCGAUGGCGAAGGCAGCCCCCUGGGUCAACACUGACGCUCAGGCACGAAAGCAUGGGGAGCAAACAGGAUUAGAUACCCUGGUAGUCCAUGCCCUAAACGAUGUCAACUAGUUGUCGGGCCUUUACGGGCUUGGUAACGUAGCUAACGCGUGAAGUUGACCGCCUGGGGAGUACGAUCGCAAGAUUAAAACUCAAAUGAAUUGACGGGGACCCGCACAAGCGGUGGAUUAUGUGGAUUAAUUCGAUGCAACGCGAAAAACCUUACCUACCCUUGACAUGUAUCGAAGCCCGCAGAAAAGCGGGGGUGCCCGAAAGGGAACGAUAACACAGGUGCUGCAUGGCUGUCGUCAGCUCGUGUCGUGAGAUGUUGGGUUAAGUCCCGCAACGAGCGCAACCCUUGUCAUUAAUUGCCAUCAUUUAGUUGGGCACUUUAGUGAGACUGCCGG